rnacentral:rRNA from 1 species
GGACGGGUGAGUAACACGUGGGUAACCUGCCCUCCAGUGGGGGAUAACAUUUGGAAACAGAUGCUAAUACCGCAUAGAUCCAAGAACCGCAUGGUUCUUGGCUGAAAGAUGGCGUAAGCUAUCGCUUUUGGAUGGACCCGCGGCGUAUUAGCUAGUUGGUGAGGUAAUGGCUCACCAAGGCGAUGAUACGUAGCCGAACUGAGAGGUUGAUCGGCCACAUUGGGACUGAGACACGGCCCAAACUCCUACGGGAGGCAGCAGUAGGGAAUCUUCCACAAUGGACGCAAGUCUGAUGGAGCAACGCCGCGUGAGUGAAGAAGGCUUUCGGGUCGUAAAACUCUGUUGUUGGAGAAGAAUGGUCGGCAGAGUAACUGUUGUCGGCGUGACGGUAUCCAACCAGAAAGCCACGGCUAACUACGUGCCAGCAGCCGCGGUAAUACGUAGGUGGCAAGCGUUAUCCGGAUUUAUUGGGCGUAAAGCGAGCGCAGGCGGUUUUUUAAGUCUGAUGUGAAAGCCCUCGGCUUAACCGAGGAAGCGCAUCGGAAACUGGGAAACUUGAGUGCAGAAGAGGACAGUGGAACUCCAUGUGUAGCGGUGAAAUGCGUAGAUAUAUGGAAGAACACCAGUGGCGAAGGCGGCUGUCUGGUCUGUAACUGACGCUGAGGCUCGAAAGCAUGGGUAGCGAACAGGAUUAGAUACCCUGGUAGUCCAUGCCGUAAACGAUGAAUGCUAG